AGUAUUUCGUAAUUUCCGACAUCCCUAGUCAUAAAAAGGCCAGCCUUAUCUUCAUGCAGGAUGUAUACACUGAGCAAAAUACCAUAGUAACCGUAAACUGUUUUCCAUUGUCAUUUCAACUAUACGCUUAAAUAGUAGCAACAACCAUGAUAUAUGACUAUUCACCAUCUGUAUUGUAUAAAUUACUAGACAACAAAGACUACGACUUGACUAAACUAUUUGUAUUUAUGACUUUUCUGGCAUGGUCAUCCUGACAAUGGUAGUCAUCUCAAAUAUAAGAACAGAUAGUUAAAAUCACAAUUUCUAGUAAGGUGAAAUUGCUCUCGAGCCUUGUAUAUAUGAGGAGCUAAAUAGUUAUCGCUACCAUGUAAAUAUGUCCACAGUUUAAUAAUGUUACCAUAAUUAGAUACAUGGUUCAAAAGACGAUUAUGAAGUUUGAAAACACUAUUCAUGUAGUCCAUAUCAACAGAAUUUAUGUAGUAAGCACAUUAUCGUAUAGUGUUUUUCAACCUACUAUGUAUUACAUUUGUGCUGACUAUACAAAUUGUCAAUGAACGGGUGUACUGUUAUUGUCACAUGAGGUUAAUCUAAUUUAGCAGAAAAUUUCGUACCUGUGUGAUGGAUUUGAACAAAAUAUUCUAUAUUGUGACUGUGUACUUUGGUAGGUCUUACAGUUUUUCCGGCAACUGUUAUGUUUUCCAGUGAAAUCAACAUCUCGUAUACGGUUUAUUAUUCAUUAUCGGUCGCUGUAGAAACAACAUCAAGCGAGUGAUGAAAAGGAAGAUUAUCAUUUGAUUCCCGGAUUCAAUUCGCUCGUAUCACAAGGAAAGUCGCAGGAAAAACUCCACCGGACAGAACCUUGAAUCAACUGAUGCUAUCAAGCAAUGCUAAGCAAUAUUCCACCAGGUAUAUUAUCAUUUGAUUUGAUGCGAAAAUAAAAUAGAGUUUAAUGAAA